CUAAGUCAAAAAUAAUAAAAGGUUUAAGUAAUUUAAUUCAAGAAAAUGAUUGGAAAAUUAUUUGCUUGACUGCCGAUUAACCGAAAAAACUGUCAUACAUAAUUGCCAGCCGCAAAAUAAUUGCGAACCGUCUCCAAAAAAUAUACAUGUACAUGUGUAUGUCCGUAUGCGUAUGUUAAAAAACCGCAAAAAUAUUUUCCCCAUUUUAAAUGAAAAAAUAUAUGUAUAGUUCUAUUCAAGUUUUAUAAAAAAAUAUAUAUGUAUAUAUAUAUACAUAUAUAUAUAUAUCUUUUCUGAAUUGCUUUUUUAAGUUCUUUACACAACAACUAAAUAAACAAGCCACACUAAUUAAGUUUACGACUGUUAGAUAUGAUUACAAAGAAAAAAACAAAUAAAGUUACAUACUACGAAACAGCAAGCGUGCUGUACUCCUGUAAACUUAUAUAUUUUCUAAAGCAUGCUAAUUAGUAUCGACUCAAGUCAACAAGCAUGUGUUAGUGGAAAACUAAAGUUUAUUCAAAAAAUUAAUACAACAUUUAUUACAUACAAAUUUAGCUGUUAAAUACAAUAACUACAAAUUAUGUACAUGAAUUGUAAAAUGCCAAAUGAACUAAGGAAAUACAUACGUAUUGUGAAAAGAAAUUGCAAAAAUGAAAUAAACACAUUGCUAAACAUUAUAAAUUUGUGCUGCUAGAUUUUAAUAAUCAUAAAUAAACGCAUACAUUUAUACAUACAUACUACAUACCUAUGAGUACAUCUAAAAAUAUCAAAUUGUGUCAAGGAAAAAGUUAAAAAAAAAAGGAAAAAAUAACCCAAGAAAUUAACCGUAAUUGACAUUUGCUGAGCCCGUUACAUAUUAUCUACUGUGGUUUUUAAAAUUAAAAUCUACAACCUCUUAAGGAAUAAAUUCUUUUAAAAGAAAAAAAAUAUCAUUGUAAUUUUUGGCCUAAUAACAAUUAUAUUCAACAGCUUUAGUGAGCAUGAGGUCGUUUUUUAACGAAAAUGUUGUGGAAUUAUUAUUGUUUUUCCAUCACAGUUUUCAUUAAAAAGCGGCCUCAAACUCAAUACAAUUGUUGAGAAAAAUAUUUUCAAAACAUUUUAAGACCUUAUCACUCUUAUGAAUAAGGCAUGCAAUUGAUUUUCAGUUGAGGAAUGUACUGCGACCAGGAAUAAAUAAGGCAUACAUACAUAUAUGAGCAAACCCACGAGCUGUUACAUUCUUCGACAAAAACUUAAAUUCUAAAUGCUCGAAAGUGCCCACAUUAUGUAGCUGUGGUUGUGGUGUAUUAUUACUGAUGUAGCUAGCGAAAUAGCUUGUGGCUUAACAUUUUAAACUUUUAAAAUUGUUAAAUUUCAAAAAUUACAAAAUAGCUCCGACAGAUAUUCUGCAUGCUGUCAUAUUUUUUAAUUUGGUUGCACACUCUAGGAACUUCACAGAUAUAUUGUAUUUGAUGCCCACACUUUCAUUGCCUCUAACAUGAACAUUCUAUUCGAAGACUUGUUAAAAUUAUUAAAAA